rnacentral:snoRNA from 1 species
GCAGAUGAUGAGCUUGGCCGCUUCCGAGCGGUGAGGACAAAUCUCGGUGCUGAUG